UACGUAGGGGGCUAGCGUUGUCCGGAAUCAUUGGGCGUAAAGAGCGUGUAGGCGGUCCGGUAAGUCCGCUGUGAAAGUCGGGGGCUCAACCCUCGAAUGCCGGUGGAUACUGUCGGGCUAGAGUGCGGAAGAGGCGAGUGGAAUUCCUGGUGUAGCGGUGGAAUGCGCAGAUAUCAGGAGGAACACCGGUGGCGAAGGCGGAUCUCUGGGCCUGUUCUGACGCUGAGGAGCGAAAGCGUGGGGAGCAAACAGG
rnacentral:rRNA from 1 species